rnacentral:rRNA from 1 species
GACGAACGCUGGCGGCAGGCUUAACACAUGCAAGUCGAGCGAGCGGCGGAAGGGUGAGUAAUGUCUGGGAAACUGCCUGAGGGAGGGGGAUAACUACUGGAAACGGUAGCUAAUACCGCAUACCAUCAGAUGUGCCCAGAUGGGAUUAGCGAGUAGGUGGGGGAAUGGCUCACCUAGACGACGAUCCCUAGCUGGUCUGAGAGGAUGACCCGCCACACUGGAACUGAGACACGGUCCAGACUCCUACGGUAGGCAGCAUUGGGGAAUAUUGCACAAUGGGCGCAAGCCUGAUGCAGCCAUGCCGCGUGUGUGAAGAAGGCCUUCGGUUUGUAAAGCACUUUCAGCGAGGAGGCGUUACUCGCAGAAGAAGCACCGGCUAACUCCGUGCCAGCAGCCGCGGUAAUAC